UAUUGUUACCAUCAAUACCAUAAAAUGUAGGUUCGAUGUAUUCCACCUUAUGGAACCCUACCAGCUCAAGAUGCUGAAGGAAUUUCAGUUGACCAAGCGAUGGAAUUCCUUUGCACCUUUUGCAACCACUUAAUUUCAACCUGACCAAAUUUGGUAGAAACUCUUCACUGAACCAUGAAGGAAAUCUAGUCCCCAUAUAUUCCACUACCGCUAAAGUUUUCAAGUUAGGAUGCGGUUGAAGACCAUCCAACACAUACUCAUCACUGGUCUCACAUCCUUCUGGUUCAUCAUGGGACCACACAUAUUUCAGCUUGUAGAUUUUUGGUUUCUCUUGUAGAUACGUUGUUCGAGCUUCUUCUCUAUUGCAUACCAAUUGGAGACCUUCAAUCGUCAAUUCACCUCUCAGGUUUUUCAAAUGACCUAUUUCUUCUAUUCGAUGGCCUUUCUCUAAACCCACUUUGAAAAACUGUAGGGUCUGAAGACAAGUCAAUUUCCCCAUGUUAAAUGGCAUCUGAAAAUGCU